rnacentral:rRNA from 1 species
GUGAACGCUAGCUACAGGCUUAACACAUGCAAGUCGAGGGGCAGCAUGGUCUUAGCUUGCUAAGGCCGAUGGCGACCGGCGCACGGGUGAGUAACACGUAUCCAACCUGCCGUCUACUCUUGGACAGCCUUCUGAAAGGAAGAUUAAUACAAGAUGGCAUCAUGAGUCCGCAUGUUCACAUGAUUAAAGGUAUUCCGGUAGACGAUGGGGAUGCGUUCCAUUAGAUAGUAGGCGGGGUAACGGCCCACCUAGUCUUCGAUGGAUAGGGGUUCUGAGAGGAAGGUCCCCCACAUUGGAACUGAGACACGGUCCAAACUCCUACGGGAGGCAGCAGUGAGGAAUAUUGGUCAAUGGGCGAGAGCCUGAACCAGCCAAGUAGCGUGAAGGAUGACUGCCCUAUGGGUUGUAAACUUCUUUUAUAAAGGAAUAAAGUCGGGUAUGGAUACCCGUUUGCAUGUACUUUAUGAAUAAGGAUCGGCUAACUCCGUGCCAGCAGCCGCGGUAAUACGGAGGAUCCGAGCGUUAUCCGGAUUUAUUGGGUUUAAAGGGAGCGUAGAUGGAUGUUUAAGUCAGUUGUGAAAGUUUGCGGCUCAACCGUAAAAUUGCAGUUGAUACUGGAUAUCUUGAGUGCAGUUGAGGCAGGCGGAAUUCGUGGUGUAGCGGUGAAAUGCUUAGAUAUCACGAAGAACUCCGAUUGCGAAGGCAGCCUGCUAAGCUGCAACUGACAUUGAGGCUCGAAAGUGUGGGUAUCAAACAGGAUUAGAUACCCUGGUAGUCCACACGGUAAACGAUGAAUACUCGCUGUUUGCGAUAUACGGCAAGCGGCCAAGCGAAAGCGUUAAGUAUUCCACCUGGGGAGUACGCCGGCAACGGUGAAACUCAAAGGAAUUGACGGGGGCCCGCACAAGCGGAGGAACAUGUGGUUUAAUUCGAUGAUACGCGAGGAACCUUACCCGGGCUUAAAUUGCAGAUGAAUUACGGUGAAAGCCGUAAGCCGCAAGGCAUCUGUGAAGGUGCUGCAUGGUUGUCGUCAGCUCGUGCCGUGAGGUGUCGGCUUAAGUGCCAUAACGAGCGCAACCCUUGUUGUCAGUUACUAACAGGUUCUGCUGAGGACUCUGACAAGACUGCCAUCGUAAGAUGUGAGGAAGGUGGGGAUGACGUCAAAUCAGCACGGCCCUUACGUCCGGGGCUACACACGUGUUACAAUGGGGGGUACAGAGGGCCGCUACCACGCGAGUGGAUGCCAAUCCCAAAAACCUCUCUCAGUUCGGACUGGAGUCUGCAACCCGACUCCACGAAGCUGGAUUCGCUAGUAAUCGCGCAUCAGCCACGGCGCGGUGAAUACGUUCCCGGGCCUUGUACACACCGCCCGUCAAGCCAUGGGAGCCGGGGGUACCUGAAGUGCGUAACCGCGAGGAGCGCCCUAGGGUAAAACUGGUGACUGGGGCU